rnacentral:rRNA from 1 species
CGCGUAGGUGGUUUGAUAAGCGAGAUGUGAAAGCCCCGGGCUUAACCUGGGAACGGCAUUUCGAACUGUCAGGCUAGAGUGUGGUAGAGGGUAGUGGAAUUUCCUGUGUAGCGGUGAAAUGCGUAGAUAUAGGAAGGAACACCAGUGGCGAAGGCGACUACCUGGGCCAACACUGACACUGAGGUGCGAAAGCGUGGGGAGCAAACA